rnacentral:rRNA from 1 species
UACGGGGGGAGCAAGCGUUGUUCGGAUUUACUGGCGUAAAGGGCGCGUAGGCGGUCAGCACAAGUCAGUUGUGAAAUCUCCGGGCUUAACCCGAAAAGGUCAACUGAUACUGUGCGACUAGAGUGCGGAAGGGGGCAACUGGAAUUCUCGGUGUAGCGGUGAAAUGCGUAGAUAUCGAGAGGAACACCUGCGGCGAAGGCGGGUUGCUGGGCCGACACUGACGCUGAUGCGCGAAAGCCAGGGGAGCGAACGGG